AGCCCCGGAGCCUUUUAUGGCUCUUCUUCAAAUUUGCAUUUUGAUGUUAAACCACAGGACU
rnacentral:tRNA from 1 species